AAUAAAUAAUAAGUCAGGAAAUGUAACUGCGCUCUAAAAACGACCCAACAAAAGCAAGCAGGCGGGGCUUAAAGGUCGUGUCCACCGUGACCAUUCUUAUUUCGAUUUAUUAUUGUGUUGUCAAUAUUCAUGCCAGCGUGUGCUGUGAAGUUGUGCAGGAGCCAUACAAGGCUAAAAUGUCCAGGGAUCACUUUUAACUAUUUUCCUACCGGCAAAAUGCAAUUCGGCAAAAAAGUGAAUAGCUGCAGUUAAGUUGGAAGGACAAGAAUAUGACUGGAUGCCUGUGAAAACCAGCAGAGUAUGCUCUAUUCAUGCUAUCAAAGACGCUGGACGCUAGCCUUCAAUUGCCAGAAACAGUGGAGCAAAUUUUAGGCUAUAUAGCCGGCUUUGUAAGCCGAAAACUGCAAGCGAAAAUCAACUGUCCAGAAUGCUUAUCAUUGCUACCUGCUAAUCAAAAUUUGUAUUUUCACAAUCUGAUUAAUUUGAAAGAUUUCGGUGGACUCUCGUACCCAUCUGUGGUGUUGUAUAAAAUAUGCACACGCACAGAAACACUAAUAAGACAGAUAAUGAAAUACAUGACAAAGGAAAAUCUGUCAGUAAUAUCUACACAGUGUUUUUCUAAAAUAAUUGACAAUGAAGAUAUUCUACGCUUACUAAAAAACAGUCACCAGACAAAUAAUGACCAUUUCUUUUUUUUUUAUAAAUUGUGUAAUGGUUGAAUUUCUCAGAACCCGUUUUUUUUAUUGCCUUUCUAGGCAGACGAGCAUACGGCCCACCUGAUGGUGAGUGGUUACCGUCGCUCAUGGACGUCAGCAAUGCCAGGAGCAGAACCAAGCCGCUGCCGUCUUCCCUACAUUGCGAAAAAAUAUUCUUUUUUAAUGUUUUCUAGGCAAAAACUUACUAAAUUAAUUAUAUUUCGAGGGACAUAGAGCUUAUUACAAAAAAAUAUAUACAUUAUACAAUUA